GUCCACGGCCAUACCACACUGAACGCACCUGGUCUCGUCUGAUCUCGGAAGCUAAGUAGGGUUGGGCCUGGUUAGUACUUGGAUGGGAGAAAGAUGGACGUUUUUACU
rnacentral:rRNA from 1 species